rnacentral:misc_RNA from 1 species
GAUGAAGAACGCAGCGAAAUGCGAUACUUGGUGUGAAUUGCAGAAUCCCGUGAACCAUCGAGUCUUUGAACGCAAGUUGCGCCCGAAGCCAUUUGGUUGAGGGCACGUCUGCCUGGGCGUCACAUAUCGUUGCCCGAUGCCUGUUGCACUGUGAUAGGAAAUUCUAGGGCGAAAGAUGGCUUCCCGUGAGCGUUGUUGCCUCGCGGUUGGUUGAAAAUUGAGUCCUUGGUAGGGUGUGCCAUGAUAGAUGGUGGUCGAGUUUGCACGAGACCGAUCAUGUGUGCGCUCCCCAAAAUAUGGACUCUUUGACCCCACACGCGUCUUUUGACGCUCAUGACGAGACCUCAGGUCAGGCGGGGCUACCCGCUGAGUUUAAGCAUAUCAAUAAGCGGAGGA